AUUAAUUUCACUAGAUAAACUGCUGCCAUUGUUUGAAGAAUGUUGUAUCUCCCUUCACUUUCUCUCAUCUCCUCCCCUUGUUUAGUUGUAUUUAGAAAAAGAUGCUGCUUUAUUGGUUUAAAGAUGCACUAUGAAGAAAUCGCUCUGCCAUUUCCUGGUUGCUAAAAUUCUAACAGUUUGCCAAAUUUCAAAUUAUGUGGCAAACAAGCAAUUAUAGUGUAUAUAAUCAUUGUACCAUCUAAAAAGCUGUGAAUAAUCUUUUCCAUAACCAAAAAUAUUGUAUUUUCAGCUGUUUGAAAUAGCUGCAUAGAAAUAGCGCACAUAGAAGAUAUCUACUGUUUCUAGGCUGUGUAUGUCCACUCCCUCUCCUUAUCUCAUUAUAUAUCCCUAUAUCCCUAUUUCUGUAUAGUCAUGUGACAGGGCUAUGUUUUGGAAAACUGCACAGCCCUAUUUCCAAAUAAAACGCCAACCCUGGCUUAACUGCAGUGACAUAAUUACGCCAUGUGGUGCCGUAUCUUGGCUGUCAGUCAAACGCCGCAAAAAUUGAACUAAAGUUUAAGUUAAGGCAUUCAUUCCAAAUGGUUCAAUUUAGGUUUGGGAAAGGCUUAAAAAAACACACACAAAAACAAGUGCCUAGCACUGGGAUUGAACACAUAAGCCUCGAAACUCGACUGCAGUUGAAAUACCCAUCCACCAUCCCCAUCGACCUAGCAAGCCGCCAGCUGCUAGAAGGUAAUAGGCGCUUACAUUGCACCUAGUGAGUGGAUGGUAUGGCUUCCACAUUUCGCAAGGUCCAAAUAAAAUAAGAUCAAGCUUUAUUUAUACAGCACAGUUCAGACUUGGAAUGCAAUGCAAUGUGCUUCACUGAAGAUGUUUUUAUUUUUUAUCAAGCAGAAUAAAAAUGGAAAUAUUUACUACACAACAGAUGCAUGACGCGUUCGGAGUUCCAUGAACAGAACUCUAUGAUCAGAAUACUAAAUCUGCAUGAACUGUCAAGUCUAAACACGACCUAGAAACCCUAGAUCUGUUCUAUGUGCGCUAUUUCUAUGCGUCUCAUUCUUAAGAUGAGUUUUUGCCUCUUUUACUUUUGGUUUUGUAAACCAGUCUCAGCGACUUCACUGUGCCCCUACAAACCUAAUGUAGCCAGGCGUAAAAUAAAUGUCUGAAACUAGAUCUGUUCUAUGUGUGCUAUUUCUAUGAGUCUUAUUCUUAAGGUUUUGUAAACCAGUCUCAACCACUUCUCUGUGCCCCUACAAACCUAAUGUUGCCAGGCGUAAAAUAAAUGCCUGAAACUAGAUCAUCCACAUUCUGGUCUUGAUGAGAAUGUAAAAAACUGUCGUGGGAGGUUCUCUUCAGUAAACGUGAUGUUAGGAAUUAAGACGGAGCGUCUCCUUGUUAAAGGGAAAUAUCACUCAAAAACUAUCUUUUGGUAUUUUUUUCCUUUAGUCCACUAUUGAUACAAAAUGUUGCAUCGUCAUGUUCAUGUGGCUGGAGACACUCUUCUUCUUAAAAGGCAUAUAUCUUGACAACUUGACUGCUGACAUGCAAAGUAUGUUGGGGCUGUAUCAACAGUGGACUAAGGAAAAAAUAUAGUUUGAGUGAAAUUCCUCUUUUAACGUCCAAAAGCAGAAGUCAUGUCACAGGCUCUCUUCUCCUCUGAAAACCGGAAUUUCCAGUUGUUGGCAACUCUGCAAAGGCUAAUGCCCCUGCUAUCUGUAAUCCAUCUCUACCUUCCCGCGGUACAGACUAAAGCCAUAAAGAAAUAUGAAAGGGGGUCGGAACUUCCUUUCAAAAAAAUAAAAAAUACGUACAGAGUCAUAGCUGUAGCAUUGGCCUACAAUCUUCAUAUUCUGAUAGCAGAAGUCGCAUGUAAGUGUAAAAACAACCUAGACUUGCUUUCAAUGAGAAUGACAGACCAAAAACACAUUUCUAUGUGAAUUUGGUCGGGGAGCCCAACAAGUUACUUAUUGGAUCAUUGAAGCAUUAUGCUUUAUAAGACAUAGCUGCUUUAUUGAUGAAAGGUCGUACUAUGUGGUUGUUUUACCCAGCUAUUUUAAGAUGAUUGCACUAACUGUAAGACGCUUUAGCUAAGAGCGUCUCCUAAAUGACUAAAAUGUAAAUGUAUUAAAAUUUGAUAUUUUAUUGCUUGUCUCCUUUAAUUAAGUUUUACCAAAGGAUUUAGUUCAAAUACAUUUUUUUGACAUUAUUAUCUACCAAAAAAUAAUACUAAUACAAAAAAAUGUACUUCCUGUAUAAUUAAAAUAAUUUCUAUGGAGGAAACAUAUAUUUCAACAAUGGCUGCCAUUGUGUAUGUUUUUAUAGCAGUUAUGACAGCAGUCAUUAAGUACAGUGCAUUUGGAUCAUAUUCCAACCCCAUUCUCUUUUUCCACAUUUUGUUAGGUUGCAGCCUUAUUCUAAAACGAAUUAACCCUUUCAUGCGUGAGUUCCAAAUAUCUCUAACGGUCGCCCCAGCGUGAGUUUUUUUAUGCACGUGAUGUUAGAAUGUUCUCUCCAUUCCAGAAUGUGAUUGAUACGUAACAGUACAUUUUAUCCGCGCUGCCCUCAAACUAAAGCACGCAGCCUGUUUAUAUUUAUAAGUUGUUUUAACUUCAAUUUAAAAUGAUUUUCAAACAAGUUUUUAUUUUCUAAAAACAGUUUGAAUUUAGGUGUGUUCCGCCUCCUCAUUCAUUCACAUAAAAAUAGUCAUUUUUACUUUUGCGGAUAAUUACAUUUUUGGGACAUUUCUGACAGGGACAAAAUUCCCCAAGCACUUCCCAAUUGUUUGUGCAGUUCACGUCUGCAGACAUUUGCUCAUCUCCCGUCAGAACAGGAUCUGCACACGUGUUCACAUUUUCUAUUCCACAUUUCUAUUGUAGCGUACUGUAUGUAUAGAGCAUAAUAUAUUUGUGUAUAUUCUUUAUCACCGCGGAAACGUGAGGUAACGUUACUCAUUUUAUAACCUUUAUGAUGUUAUAGUCAAUCGUGCUUAUGUAGCCACAUUCUUCUAUUAGCUCUGUAAAACAAUGCUAAAUGCGUCAGAGAAGUAUUAUCUUGUGUUGCAUUUUGAAGCUACCAUGGCCUUAUGACUCUCAAGUGGUGCAGCGGUCAAAGGCACAGCACAUCAGUACUAGAGGUGUCACUACAGACUCCCUGGUUCAAAUCCAGGCUGCGUUUCCAUCAAAAAACAUUAUUUGCCAAUAUCAUAACUGAAGCUGGACAUCUUUGGAGCAUAAGAAUGAGGACAGCUUUUGUAUGCUAACGUACACUCCUUAACAGUUGUACUGGAUGAAAACACAGCAAGAAAACGCAUGCCAAUAUUGACUGAACAACAACUGCAUUUCCACCCCCAUCUCUAAGGCAUAGUAUCAUGGCUGGUCACCUGUCAAGUCACAUGUCAGGUCAGUCAGUCACCUAUUGCUGCAGAUGUGCUCAAUAAUGCUUGAGUAUGUGAUACUCCUCAAAGCAUGGUGAAAUACAUAGAGGUGUAUCACAAGCUAGACACAUGUAUUUUGUCAUCUUCCUCUGCUUACUUCUCCUGGCGCCAGACAGGCAGACUUUGCAAUGCCUCCGUGUGCGACUACCUUGAGAAGCAGUUUGAGGGACUUU